rnacentral:rRNA from 1 species
AAACUCCUACGGGAGGCAGCAGUAGGGAAUCUUCCACAAUGGACGAAAGUCUGAUGGAGCAACGCCGCGUGAGUGAAGAAGGGUUUCGGCUCGUAAAACUCUGUUGUUAAAGAAGAACAUAUCUGAGAGUAACUGUUCAGGUAUUGACGGUAUUUAACCAGAAAGCCACGGCUAACUACGUGCCAGCAGCCGCGGUAAUACGUAGGUGGCAAGCGUUGUCCGGAUUUAUUGGGCGUAAAGCGAGCGCAGGCGGUUUUUUAAGUCUGAUGUGAAAGCCUUCGGCUCAACCGAAGAAGUGCAUCGGAAACUGGGAAACUUGAGUGCAGAAGAGGACAGUGGAACUCCAUGUGUAGCGGUGAAAUGCGUAGAUAUAUGGAAGAACACCAGUGGCGAAGGCGGCUGUCUGGUCUGUAACUGACGCUGAGGCUCGAAAGUAUGGGUAGCAAACAGGAUUAGAUACCCUGGUAGUCCAUACCGUAAACGAUGAAUGCUAAGUGUUGGAGGGUUUCCGCCCUUCAGUGCUGCAGCUAACGCAUUAAGCAUUCCGCCUGGGGAGUACGGCCGCAAGGCUGAAACUCAAAGGAAUUGACGGGGGCCCGCACAAGCGGUGGAGCAUGUGGUUUAAUUCGAAGCUACGCGAAGAACCUUACCAGGUCUUGACAUACUAUGCAAAUCUAAGAGAUUAGACGUUCCCUUCGGGGACAUGGAUACAGGUGGUGCAUGGUUGUCGUCAGCUCGUGUCGUGAGAUGUUGGGUUAAGUCCCGCAACGAGCGCAACCCUUAUUAUCAGUUGCCAGCAUUAAGUUGGGCACUCUGGUGAGACUGCCGGUGACA